UCAAUUGGUGUCUUUUGACUGAAAUCCAAUCUCUACAACUAUGCAAUACCUCAACUACUCCAUUUCAUAACGAACUUCGUACGAACCUGAAUUGUCCAAUUUCAUGCAACAAUCGAUAUCGGAUUGAGUCCAAAACUUGGGGAACAUCAUAAUAUGAUGGGAGAAGUCAUUUGGCGUCUUUUGACUGAAAUCCAAUGGCUAAAACUAUGCAAUACACCAA
rnacentral:lncRNA from 1 species